rnacentral:rRNA from 1 species
UGAUCCUGGCUCAGAAUGAACGCUGGCGGCAGGCCUAACACAUGCAAGUCGGACGGUAACAGAGAGAAGCUUGCUUCUUUGCUGACGAGUGGCGGACGGGUGAGUAAUGCUUAGGAAUCUACCCUUUAGUUGGGGACAACGUAUGGAAACGUACGCUAAUACCGAAUAUGCUCUACGGAGUAAAGGUGCCCUCUCCUUGGAAGGUAUCGCUAAAGGAUGAGCCUAAGUGAGAUUAGCUAGUAGGUAAGGUAAGAGCUUACCUAGGCGACGAUCUCUAGCUGGUUUGAGAGGAUGAUCAGCCACACUGGGACUGAGACACGGCCCAGACUCCUACGGGAGGCAGCAGUGGGGAAUAUUGCACAAUGAGGGAAACCUUGAUGCAGCCAUGCCGCGUGUGUGAAGAAGGCCCGAGGGUUGUAAAGCACUUUCAAUUGUGAGGAAGGUAGUGUAGUUAAUACCUGCAUUAUUUGACGUUAACUUUAGAAGAAGCACCGGCUAACUCUGUGCCAGCAGCCGCGGUAAUACAGAGGGUGCAAGCGUUAUUCGGAAUUACUGGGCGUAAAGCGCGCGUAGGCGGAUUAUUAAGUCAGUUGUGAAAGCCCUGGGCUCAACCUGGGAACGGCAUCUGAUACUGGUAGUCUAGAGUUUAGUAGAGGGAAGGGGAAUUUCUAGUGUAGCAGUGAAAUGCGUAGAUAUUAGAAGGAACAUCAGUGGCGAAGGCGCCUUCCUGGACUAAAACUGACGCUGAGGUGCGAAAGCGUGGGUAGCGAACGGGAUUAGAUACCCCGGUAGUCCACGCCGUAAACGAUGUCAACUAGUUGUGGGGCUUAUUAAAAAGUU